UGGAUUUUCUUCUUGGACAUAUAUGCUUUUUGUGUUUUUAAUUUUUAACUAUAAAUCAAUGAAUAACAUGAUAGAUCAAAAAGUUAUGGAUCGAAAAUGGAUAUUUGUUAUAUGCUCUGUCCUAAAAUGAUUCCUAAUCAAAAAAUUUCUUUAUUGAGCAAGGUGUAUUUUAGGAAUUGAUCUUGGCAUGUUAAAUAAAUGUUAGUUGUUGCAUAUUAACUAUAUCAUGCAUUUGUGAUGUAGAAUGGAUCGUAGUUGGAUGAAUUCUAAAAGAAUCACCAAUGAGUAUCAAAAUGGGGUUGAACAAUUUUUGGAAUUUGCUCAACGAAAUCAAACAGAUUUGAAUGGGAAGUUCUAAAACAAGGACAUUAUGAAUGUGGAUACUAUGUCAUGAAUUGGAUGUCAGAAAUAAUUGAAGGGGGAGUAACAAAUAGUUGGAGUGAGCUUUUUGAAGAUUCUACACCAUUGGGGGAAACCAAAUUGGAAGACAUUCGGAUUCAUUGGGGAAAUUUUUUUUUAGAAAAAUUUAGAAAUAGGUGAAUGUGGUUUCAGUAUUAGGCUGCCCAAUGCCAUGUCUUGUGACCUAAUUUUUUUGAUCUUCUCUUCUCCUUGUAAGAGAAAAACUCUUCUUUAUAUAUUGUUUAGGGUUUCCAAGUAUAGCCUCUCUUGGUUUCCAAGUAUAUUGUUUCUUUAGUAUUAUAUAUAUUAUAUAAUGAUGUAAUUGAGCCAUUUUUAUAAUGAUAACGAUCCCAAAUUGGUCUCUGUUGUUUCUCUUA